CAGCAGCCGCGGUAAUACGGAGGAUCCAAGCGUUAUCCGGAAUCAUUGGGUUUAAAGGGUCCGUAGGCGGUCUUGUAAGUCAGUGGUGAAAGCCCAUCGCUCAACGGUGGAACGGCCAUUGAUACUGCAGGACUUGAAUUAUUGUGAAGUAACUAGAAUAUGUAGUGUAGCGGUGAAAUGCUUAGAGAUUACAUGGAAUACCAAUUGCGAAGGCAGGUUACUACCAAUUGAUUGACGCUGAUGGACGAAAGCGUGGGUAGCGAACAGGAUUAGAUACCCCUGUAGUCCCUGUCUCUUAUAU
rnacentral:rRNA from 1 species